rnacentral:rRNA from 1 species
UACGAAGGGGGCUAGCGUUGCUCGGAAUCACUGGGCGUAAAGGGUGCGUAGGCGGGUCUUUUAAGUCAGGGGUGAAAUCCUGGAGCUCAACUCCAGAACUGCCUUUGAUACUGGCGAUCUUGAGUCCGGGAGAGGUGAGUGGAACUGCAAGUGUAGAGGUGAAAAUUCGUAGAUAUUCGCAAGAACACCAGUGGCGAAGGCGGCUCACUGGCCCGGUACUGACGCUGAGGUGCGAAAGCGUGGGGAGCAAAGCAGGG